GAUGAACGCUGGCGGCGUGCUUAACACAUGCAAGUCGAACGGAAAGGCCCAAGCUUGCUUGGGUACUCGAGUGGCGAACGGGUGAGUAACACGUGGGUGAUCUGCCCUGCACUUCGGGAUAAGCCUGGGAAACUGGGUCUAAUACUGGAUAGGACCACUUCUUGGAUGGUGUGGUGGAAAGUUUUUUCGGUGGGGGGUGAGCUCGCGGCCUAUCAGCUUGUUUGUGGGGUAAUGGCCUACCAAGGCGUCGACGGGUAGCCGGCCUGAGAGGGUGUACGGCCACAUUGGGACUGGGAUACGGCCCCGACUCCUACGGGAGGCAGCAGUGGGGAAUAUUGCACAAUGGGGGCAAGCCUGAUGCAGCGACGCCGCGUGGGGGGUGACGGCCUUCGGGUUGUAAACCCCUUUCGCUAGGGACGAAGCGUUUUUGUGACGGUACCUGGAGAAGAAGCACCGGCUAACUACGUG
rnacentral:rRNA from 1 species